AUGUUGGGUUAAGUCCCGCAACGAGCGCAACCCCUACUUGUUAGUUGCCAUCAUUCAGUUGGGCACUCUAGCGAGACUGCCGGUAAUAAACCGGAGGAAGUGGGGAUGACGUCAAAUCAUCAUGCCCCUUAUGACCUGGGCUACACACGUGCUACAAUGGUUGGUACAACGAGUUGCGAGUCGGUGACGGCGAGCUAAUCUCUUAAAGCCAAUCUCAGUUCGGAUUGUAGGCUGCAACUCGCCUACAUGAAGUCGGAAUCGCUAGUAAUCGCGGAUCAGCACGCCGCGGUGAAUACGUUCCCGGGCCUU
rnacentral:rRNA from 1 species